AUGACGCCAAUGUCAACAUCAUCAACCCGGUGCCGCAAGGAUCAUGAUGGGGAGCUCGCAAGAAGGACACCCGCCAUCCACUUCGUCAUGCUGGAGCUAGAGGAUGGAGGCGUGGCGCCCAUUGGGGAUGCCGCCGACGUCUACUUCAUCAGAUGGAGCCUGGAGGCGUGGAGCUCGCAGGAAUUCUGCCGUGUGCCGCGGAGGAAGGCGAGACGGAGCUCGCUCAGACGACGCCCGUUUUCUUCUUCAUCAAUCCGGUGCCAUGGAGGACAAAGACGGAGCUCGCUAGGACGACGCCCGUUUUCUUCUUCAUUAAGCCGGUGCCAUGGAGGACAAAGGCGUGGAGGCUCGCAAUGA
rnacentral:rRNA from 1 species